rnacentral:misc_RNA from 1 species
CAGCCGCGUAAUUCCAGCUCCAAUAGCGUAUAUUAAAGUUGUUGCAGUUAAAAAGCUCGUAGUUGAAUUUCGAGAUCAAUUUGUUGGUCGUGCCUCGGUACGUACUGGCAAUUUUGAUUUCUCCCUUCUGAAGAACCAUGAUGUCAUUAAUUUGGUGUCAUGGGGAAUCAGGACCGUUACUUUGAAAAAAUUAGAGUGUUUAAAGCAGGCUCGCGCUUGAAUACAUUAGCAUGGAAUAAUGAAAUAGGACGUUUGAUUCUAUUUUGUUGGUUUCUAGGAUCGACGUAAUGAUUAAUAGGGAUAGUUGGGGGCAUUAGUAUUCAAUUGUCAGAGGUGAAAUUCUUGGAUUUAUUGAAGACUAACUACUGCGAAAGCAUUUGCCAAGGAUGUUUUCAUUAAUCAAGAACGAAAGUUAGGGGAUCGAAGACGAUCAGAUACCGUCGUAGUCUUAACCAUAAACUAUGCCGACUAGGGAUCGGAUGAUGUUAAUUUUUUAAUGACUCAUUCGGCGCCUUACG